rnacentral:tRNA from 1 species
GCUCUUAUAGUCUAGAUAACACGAAGGCUUUUCAAGCCUUAAACCCAAGUUAAACCCUUGGUAAGAGCA